AUGGCCGCAGUACCCAUGGAGUGGAUGAUGCUCGAGCCCUUCGUGUUCCGCAGGGACGAAGAUUCUUCCUUCCCGGACGACCGGACCGCGCCCUUCAGGGCCGAAGGCAUCAGCUCCCACGGCGGCCCCUUCACCGUCGCCUUCCGCGUCGUCGGCCCCCCGGCCAUCUCCCGCUUCUACCUGAAGUGGCCGGGCGGCCCAAAGGCAGGCUCUUCGUGCGAUAUUGUGGCGGCGCAUCGCAACCUCCUCCUGUUCAGGCUCACCUCCAACCCUGUCAAGGGGAAGGAUGAGGAGUCCCUGAUUUGGCCGCAGGAGUACUUCAUCUGCCAAGGAUCGCUGCACCAGCCAACGCUGCAGCUCCACCGGAUCCCCAUGUUCACCCAGCGCUCUUUGCAUCUUCGCUCUGUUGGCAUCUUGUGCCGCCCUGAAGAAAAAUUCGUGGUGGCGCAGCUGCGCCUAAGUGAAACCCGUUUGCCGGCGAAGAUGGAAGCUGAACUGUGCGUUCUACGCUCCAACAAGUGGGAGCUGCUGCGGAAUCUGCAGAUAAAGUACGAAGCCCAUGAAUUAUCUGACUUGAUCCAUUGGAGAACCGACAGAGUGAUCCCUUUCGAAAACUAUCUGUGCUGGGUUAGUUACUUCAGUGGAGGCACCCUGUUCUGUGACGUGUCUGAAAAAAAGCCUAAAAUCUCCCACCAUCGGCUGCCUAUUCAUGGCCGAUGUCGCGGUGCAGAUCUACACCGCUUGCGUGAUAUGAACUGCUCUUUGUGCACCACCGAUUCUGGCGGUAAGCUCAUGUUCAUUAAUGUUGCCCCGGAGGAUCAUGAGAUAGUUGGCCCAAUGCUUCCUGGUACGGAUUUUAUUGUCACUUGCCAUACUUGGAGGACACAAGACAUGGUGUGGGAAGAGGCGUUCGUCAUCACAUCUCAUGAAAUAUGGGGUUUCGAUGCCUCUCUCUCAUACAAUGCUCUGAUGUUUCCUCUUGUGAGUGCGGCCAAGUCAAAUGAGCUAUACUUUCUAUUGCCCGAGAAAGGGGAGCGUGCAAUUGACAAGGUUUCGGUGAUUGCUGUUGAUACUAUUACUAAGCAUGUGAAGAUUCAUCAGUACAUUGAAGGAGAGGAAGACCUCGGGGGUGAAGAUGAUGACAUGGUUAGGCGAAAGUCCCGUCUUCUCCAUCCCUUUGUUCCCACCGAGUUCCCAAAGUUUUUCUGGCCUCACCAGUUAAGGUGUGUUGAAGACUGCCAAGACGAAUUGACAAAAUCAAGCAACCAGGUCUCUGUUGGCUGUUGCUGUGUGAUGUAG
rnacentral:rRNA from 1 species